CCUACGGGCGGCAGCAGUGGGGAAUAUUGCACAAUGGCCGCAAGCCUGAUGCAGCCAUGCCGCGUGUGUGAAGAAGGCCUUCGGGUUGUAAAGCACUUUCAGCGGGUAGGAAGGCGUUAAGGUUAAUAACCUUGGCGAUUGACGUUACCCGCAGAAGAAGCACCGGCUAACUCCGUGCCAGCAGCCGCGGUAAUACGGAGGGUGCAAGCGUUAAUCGGAAUUACUGGGCGUAAAGCGCACGCAGGCGGUCUGUCAAGUCGGAUGUGAAAUCCCCGGGCUCAACCUGGGAACUGCAUUCGAAACUGGCAGGCUAGAGUCUUGUAGAGGGGGGUAGAAUUCCAGGUGUAGCGGUGAAAUGCGUAGAGAUCUGGAGGAAUACCGGUGGCGAAGGCGGCCCCCUGGACAAAGACUGACGCUCAGGUGCGAAAGCGUGGGGAGCAAACAGGAUUAGAUACCCGAGUAGUC
rnacentral:rRNA from 1 species